rnacentral:rRNA from 1 species
UACAGAGGUCUCAAGCGUUGUUCGGAUUCAUUGGGCGUAAAGGGUGCGUAGGCGGCGCGGUAAGUCGGGUGUGAAAUCUCGGAGCUUAACUCCGAAACUGCAUUCGAUACUGCCGUGCUCGAGGACUGGAGAGGAGACUGGAAUUUACGGUGUAGCAGUGAAAUGCGUAGAUAUCGAGAGGAACACCAGUGGCGAAGGCGAGUCUCUGGACGACUCCUGACACUGAGGCACGAAAGCUAGGGGAGCAAACAGG